rnacentral:rRNA from 1 species
UACGGAGGGUGCGAGCGUUGUCCGGAAUCACUGGGCGUAAAGGGCGCGUAGGCGGCGCGGGCAGUCAACGGUGAAAGCUUGGGGCUCAACCCCGAGUCGGCCGUCGAUACUCCCGGGCUUGAGCACUGUAGAGGCAGGUGGAAUUCCGGGUGUAGCGGUGGAAUGCGUAGAGAUCCGGAAGAACACCGGUGGCGAAGGCGGCCUGCUGGGCAGUAGCUGACGCUGAUGCGCGAUAGCGUGGGGAGCAAACAGG